rnacentral:rRNA from 1 species
CCCUUAGAUGUCCUGGGCAGCACGCGUGCUACAAUGAUGCAUUCAACGAGUCUUGCCUUAACCGAAAGGUUCGGGUAAACUUUUGAAAUUGCAUCUUGUCGGGGCUUGAUCAUUGUAAUUUUUGAUCACAAACAAGGAAUUCCUUGUAAAUGUGAGUCAUCAACUUGCAUUGAAUACGUCCCUGCCCUUUGUACACACCGCCCGUCGCUUCUACCGAUGAAUGAUCCGGUGAACACUCUGGACUUGUUGUCUGCCGGAGCAAUCCAAAGACGAUAGGGAAGUUGUGUAAACCUUAUCAUUUAGAGGAAGAAGAAGUCGUAACA